GAAAGCCGUGUGCAAUGAAAAAUGCAAGCACGGCUUGGGGAGGGGUCUUUACUUGUUUAUUUAAUUUAAGAUUAACAUUUAUUUUAUUUAACAAGGAACUUAUCUACUCCAU
rfam:Nicotiana attenuata strain TT chromosome 10, whole genome shotgun sequence.